CCACAUUUAGUUCAUAAGUGGGUUGGUCGCGCCCACUAACUCCGGCUCCAUGGGAACCGGGACUUUUGGACGAAGAACUCGGUUGAACCGCGAGGAGGAGGAAGAUUUGUGACAGCGCACAAGGAAGGACACGCCUGCUCGUUACAUCGACAGUUUGUGUGGGUAGACCGUGCGUGUUGUUCUGACGGAGAAUUUAUAAUACUCACCUCUACUCAAUGAACCUACCUUUCGCUUGUUAUUUUGUCCCCGACGGUUGUGGUUUUCUGCGUCAUAGCAACAGAGAUGUAAAUCAAGUUAGCCUCCACCUCUUCAUUUGAUAUGCAGCUACUGACAUAACCAGGAGCGCUGAAGUGACAGAGUGCAGCGGAAGAUGGACAUCCGGAGUGGCAUACAAAAGGCAGUGGAGCCCCUCCCUGCCUCUCUCCCCUCUUCCCCUCAACAGUCGGGUGCCCAUCAGCAGAGCGAGCCGGAGGACAGCCAGGCAGAACGGAGUGCCAGGCCCACCGCUGACAACCACAGCAACGACACCCAGCCAGCCGCCGGCCACCGAGACGACAAAAAAUAUUUCAGUGUGGAGUCCAUUGAUGGAGUCCAUAUGUUUCAUGAAGCCAUUAGAAGACUGUUGCUGACUGAGAUGAGUCUGGCACUAACCCAGAACUAUCAGAAGCAUCUUUCUUUCGGCUGCUGCUGACAACAACUGCAUUCAGGCAACAACCCAUACUGUACUGGCGGUAGAUAGCCCAGCGGCUAAAGAGGUGGACCUGUGGCCAGUUCAAAUCCUGGGCCAGGUGCUGGAAAAAACGAACGGAAUUGAUCUGACAACUGGAGGGCUGCAGGGUACAUAUCCUCAAAACAUUCACCUACCGUUGGGCCAUUGAGCAAGGUCUUUAACCCCACAACAUCUUCAUCCAGGGUCCGCUGCACUGCAGCUUCAAUCUGUGCUCAUCUCGACUGUAUGUCUGCUGUUUGGGGGUUUAGAAACAGAGCAGAAGGCACAUUUUUUUGGUUUGCUGUAACUAAUGGACAAAGUUGUAUUGUAUUUUAUUGUAAAGAAGUCAGCCGGAGUUGACAUGGGCCAUCAUUCAAACAAAGAGAAGUCAGCCGGAGUUGACAUGGGCCAUCAUUCAAACAAAGAGAAGUCAGCCGGAGUUGACAUGGGCCAUCUUUCAAACAAAGAGAAGUCAGCCGGAGUUGACAUGGGCCAUCAUUCAAACAAAGAGAAGUCAGCCGGAGUUGACAUGGGCCAUCUUUCAAACAAAGAGAUGUCAGCCACAGUUGACAGCCAGAGUUGACGUUGGCACAUUUCCAAAUUAUGUUUGCAUAAAAUGACAAUCAAUUCUAAAAACUAUGCAGGUAUUCUUUCGUCCAUGAUUUAAUUGUUUAUUAAAUUAUAUUCUUAGCAAAAAAUAUGACUAUUUAAUAGUAGUAGACAUUAUUCAUAAAUGGCACCAUGCAAGGUUCUUUAUGGAACCAUUUUGUUUCAGUGAAGAAAAACCUCUAGGGUUCUGAUCAAAGAACCCUAUAAAAGGGUUCUAUAACUUUUAGGGGUUUCAUAUAUGGAGAAAGCGAUGGAACACUUUUUAGUUCUAUAAGGAACCUUUUUUUCUAAGAGUGCAUAUGUCUGCUGAAAAGAGAAAAGAGAGCAUGAGAAAAUGAGAUUUGAUCAGUCAUAGAAAUAAAAGUGCUGAAAACAUGUUUGCUCACUAUUUAAAAAGAAGAUGGAGAACAAGCUAUAUGAUGAAAAAUACCAGAGUUUUGGUGCAGGUACAUCUGACUAGCGCUAGCUAACGCUGCCUACUGUAGCAAAGCAAAUAAUAAUAUAUAUCUUGACUUGGAGUCAAAGUAUCGAUAUACUGUUUACAUUUAUACAGCACACAAAUUCAACCUAUCUCCGUGUACACCAUUUUCACAGCAAUGAGCGUAAACACCUUUUCCCCCUUCACUCACACAUUCACACUACGGGACAAGUUUGUAAAAUAAAUCUCAGCCCCCAAGCUGCUUCACAGAAAGAGGCCUUUUGAUAAAGCUAUCUCCAGUUUGGUGCUGGUAGUUGGAUGAGCUCUCAGUCUCUAAUGGCCAGAUUAAGAUGCUCGGAGUUGGAUGAUGAAUCCUGCUGAUUGCACCUUCUGCAGUCAAUCCUCUUCUCUACUUUCCUCUCAGCGGCAGGCAGCCACUGCAUGCUGGGAGGAAAAUUACUGCAGUGGACUCCAAUCUCCUGGUCUGUCUGGUGUGAGCAGCUAACACUGACCCUAGCCGUCCAGGACAGAGCUGCUUAACAGUUCUUACUGUACCCACCGAUCAAUAGUGGAUUUAGGGAAUUACUGGGGCUAUCGUAUAAUUUCUUGCACCCUGCGCAUUCAUAAAUGUUCCUCUGAAUCCAAGAUCCGUUUCUGCUGGGGGAAAUCAAUAGCCGUCCGGUAGGCCAGCUGUUGGAUUUUUAUUACUUCUGAAAUCAGAUCACAAGUCUCUGCUGCUGCAAGAUACUGGGGAGAGAAGCAAAAGGCAACAUUUAGACUAGUUAGUUCAUAAAAGUAACAUGUUUCCCACCCUUCACUUAAAAGGAAAAUGCAUUGAAUUACAUGCAAAUGGAAAUGGAUUGUCACGCCCUGACCAUAGAGAGCCCUUGGUUCUCUAUGGUGUUUUAGGUCAGGGGGUGUUGUAGUCUUUUCAUUUCUAUGUUGGUGAUCUUAGUAUGGUUCCCAAUUAGAGGCAGCUGAUGUUCGUUGUCUCUAAUUGGGGAUCAAACUUAAGGGUUCCCUGUUCCCACCUGCUUUGUGGGAUAUUGUUUGUAUAUGUGCAGGUAGCACUACGUUACUUUACGUUUCGUUGCUUGUUUAUUGUUUUUGUUUGAAAGUUUCACUUAAAUAAAAGAUGUGGAACUCAACACAUGCUGCGCCUUGGUCCGCUCUGUACGACGAUCGUGACAGAAUAUCCCACCAAACAAGGACCAAGCAGCGUGCAACGGAGGGAAAAGUGAGUUGGACCUGGGAAGAGAUCAUGGGAGGAGGCGAGACCCUUCCUUGGUGGGAGUCGCCAGGAAAUCAGGAAGGACAGUGAAGACGCCGGGGACCGCGGCCACAGAAACCCCAAGAUUUUUUUGGGGGGCAUGAGGGGUGGUCGGCCGAGCCAAGGAGAGAGCCAGAGCCCGCCUGGGAGUCGACGGAGCAGUGUGAGGAGGGAUAUCGGAGAAUGAUGUUGGCUAGGAGUAUGCUGCAGCACAGGCGUGCUGAAGAGCGUGACACCAGUCUGGUGCC